rnacentral:rRNA from 1 species
AUUGAACGCUGGCGGCAUGCUUUACACAUGCAAGUCGAACGGUAACAGGGAAAAGCUUGCUUUUCUGCUGACGAGUGGCGAACGGGUGAGUAAUACAUCGGAACGUGCCCUGUAGUGGGGGAUAACUACUCGAAAGAGUGGCUAAUACCGCAUACAACCUGAGGGUAAAAGUGGGGGACCGCAAGGCCUCACGCUAUAGGAGCGGCCGAUGGAAGAUUAGGUAGUUGGUAGGGUAAAGGCCUACCAAGCCGACGAUCUUUAGCGGGUCUGAGAGGACGAUCCGCCACACUGGGACUGAGACACGGCCCAGACUCCUACGGGAGGCAGCAGUGGGGAAUUUUGGACAAUGGGGGCAACCCUGAUCCAGCAAUGCCGCGUGAGUGAAGAAGGCCUUCGGGUUGUAAAGCUCUUUUAUUAGGGUAAAAGGCAAUCGUGCUAAUACCACGGUUGUUUGAUGUUACCUGUUGAUAAGCCCGGCUAACUACGUGCCAGCAGCCGCGGUAAACGUAGCGUG